rnacentral:rRNA from 1 species
UACGUAGGGGGCUAGCGUUGUCCGGAAUCAUUGGGCGUAAAGCGCGCGUAGGCGGCCCGGUAAGUCCGCUGUGAAAGUCCAGGGCUCAACCCUGGAAAGCCGGUGGAUACUGCCGGGCUAGAGUCCGGGAGAGGCGAGUGGAAUUCCCGGUGUAGCGGUGAAAUGCGUAGAUAUCGAGAGGAACACCUGCGGCGAAGGCGGGUUGCUGGGCUGACACUGACGCUGAGGCGCGAAAGCCAGGGGAGCGAACGGG